CAGGCUGCCUCGCUAAACGAUGCACACCUGUAACUCACGUGACCCUGGUUAUUAUUGAAACAAGAACGAGGGCGUCGUGCCUUUAUAAGACUGCGUUAAUAGUUCCGUAGAGUUAUCCCUUCCGUUGUUGUUUAUUGAUUGUUAAACAUGGCGUCAUUUGCAAAGGUGGUUGUGUGUGUCCUCAUUGCUUGUGACUGUAAUGCAUUCGGUUUUCCGAAGAGAGAUGUGAACUUAAAGGCCUCUGCAGUUGACCGCCAAAGUGAUGAUGUGGUUGUCACCACAACACCCGUUCCCCACAACCAGACCACCUCUGCCCCUACUGAAGCUGGUGGUGGUGCAAGUGAAGAUGCUGUGGCUACUACCCCAGCACCUAAUCCACACAACCAGACAACUUCUGCACAAACUGAAGUUACUGAUGGGGCCAGUGAAGAUGCUGUGGACCGCCAAAGUGAUGUGGUUGUCGCCACAACACCCAAUCCCCACAACCAGACCACAUCUGCCCCUACUGAAGCUGGUGGUGGAGCAAGUGAAGAUGCUGUGGCUACUACCCCAGCACCUAAUCCACACAACCAGACAACUUCUGCACAAACUGAAGUUACUGAUGGGGCCAGUGAAGAUGCUGUGGACCGCCAAAGUGAUGAUGUGGUUGUCGCCACAACACCCAAUCCCCACAACCAGACCACAUCUGUAGCUGGUGGAGAUGGAGCAAGUGAAGAUGAUGCAGAUGCAGAUGAAGAUGAUGCAGAUGAAGAUGAUGAUUCAGCAAGUGAAGAUGCUGUGGCUACCACCCCAACACCAAAUCCCCCAACUACAUCUGACCACACUGCAGCUACCGAUGAUGCAAGUGAGGGUGCUGUGGCUGCCCAAACUGGAGCUACUGUAUCCCAUACGACUGAAGUCUGAUUCGACUGCUCCUCUGGUCACAAUGACCUGUCUGGACUUUUUGCCUCUACAUGUUGACUGCAAUAAAGGACAGAUUUGUAUUUUUUAAUCAAAUGUUGUCUUGCCUUUUUCAAAUUGAGGCCUUGUCCUGUUUUGGUAGUGGAGAUGACUAUGAAGCCUCUUUCCUAACGUAUUUCCUGUAGUGGUUUUACUAUAUGCUUCAUGCAACAAGGCCUUCAACGACUCUACAAUUUAAAAGCAUCUAGUUUUGUCUGAAUUUGUAAAAUGGUUGAACUGGUAGUGAUGCAC
ensembl:lncRNA